GACGAACGCUGGCGGCGUGCUUAACACAUGCAAGUCGAACGGAAAGGCCCUGCUUUUGUGGGGUGCUCGAGUGGCGAACGGGUGAGUAACACGUGAGUAACCUGCCCCUGACUUUGGGAUAACUUCAGGAAACUGGGGCUAAUACCGGAUAGGAGCUCCUGCUGCAUGGUGUGGGUUGGAAAGUUUCGGCGGUUGGGGAUGGACUCGCGGCUUAUCCGCUUGUUGGUGGGGUAGUGGCUUACCAAGGCUUUGACGGGUAGCCGGCCUGAGAGGGUGACCGGCCACAUUGGGACUGAGAUACGGCCCAGACUCCUACGGGAGGCAGCAGUGGGGAAUAUUGCACAAUGGGCGGAAGCCUGAUGCAGCAACGCCGCGUGCGGGAUGACGGCCUUCGGGUUGUAAACCGCUUUCGCCUGUGACGAAGCGUGAGUGACGGUAAUGGGUAAAGAAGCACCGGCUAACUACGUG
rnacentral:rRNA from 1 species